GGGCCGUUAGCUCAGUUGGUAGAGCGGCUGACUCUUAAUCAGCGUGUCGUAGGUUCGAUCCCUACACGGCCCACAA
rnacentral:tRNA from 1 species